rnacentral:tRNA from 1 species
GGGCUCGUAGCGCAGCAUGGAUAGCGCGGUAGCCUCCUAAGUUACAGGUCGAGGGAUCGAAGCCCUCCGGGCCCG